rnacentral:lncRNA from 1 species
GCUUCAUUCCCCUUAGGUAUUUAGGGGAUUUAGUUCAUAACUAAAUAAGAAAACAUCUCAGAAGAAUAAAAAAUACAAAACAUAAAGAAAACCCAAAACUCCUGAAGGGAAAUUGAGAGAUAUCUUCAGUCUUGAUGAUGAAUCCGACUUCUGAGAUGGAUCAAUCGGCUUCCUUGGGGUAAUUCCUUACCCCUCUUCUCCGCCUCCUCUUUCUUUCUUCUCUAGGGUAUAUUUAUAGGCUUUGGUAUGCCUAAAACCCUCAAAAUCAGCCUUUUUCUGAAUUGGACUCAACUUGGGCUCGGCAGGGACACAUCCGUGGCACACGCUUGUGUUCAAUUACUUCAGGUCGUGUUCGAGCCUGCCAAAUUGACACAGCCGUAUGGUUUACCCGUGUGAGGAGGUCUAGCCUGUGUUGAUUUCGUACUUUGGCCCAUUUUCUCCGUUUUU